rnacentral:antisense_RNA from 1 species
GUUUAUGGUGGGGCGUGCAGGGCAGUCUUCGGACUGGCCGGUUUCUGUGGUCACCGGUAGUGCAAACCCUGCACGUCUCACCACCCAU